UGAAAUUGUUACUAUUUAUAUCAUUGUCGAUUUACAAUGGUACUAUAUGAUGAUCUUGAACUAAUAUUAUACAAAACUUCUAGUCUACGAUGCCAUGUGCAAUAAUUUCACAAUAUAUUGUAUUUUUACAAUUUCUUAUUUUCCAUUCAUUGGAGAAAAAACGAUGAUAAAGUUUAAAUGUCUUAUAACUGAGAUAGUAACGAUACAGGAUAUUGCUAUGUAAUAAUUACGUAUCCUCUAAAGGCUUUCCCAUUAUGCUGCCGUAUGCUGCGAUUACACAAAGACAUUGAGAAUCAUAUCCUCCAAUGAUAUACAAAAGAUAAUCAUUCAAGUUUUGCAAUCAGUGUGUGUUUGUUUUUACAAUGCCUAAAGAAUAUAUUUUCUGAGCAGCUGCCAUGUUUUUUUUUUCAAUGGAAGUAAAUACUGGUUCAGGAGAACCAGCUAGUUUUGCGUUUAGUGUUAAAUAUAAUAUUUUCUCGCACCGAAAAAUUUAAAGUUACCAAUAGUUCCUGUCUUAACGCAUUGCAGCUGACCUUGCAACCUCGCUUGAAACCUUGGACAAAAUUGAUUUGAUUAUUUAAUGCAUGAUUGUUCAUCGUCAAUGUGGAUUUCUAUCUGCACUCGGCUUUACGGAUGCGGAUUCCCGGAUGCCCGGAUGAAUUUUUGUCUCAUCGCCAAUCCAAUCGCUAUGGAUUCAUCAUUACACCAUACACGAAGAGCUAAAUAGUUAAAUCUAAUAAACUUCAUAAUACCAAUACACACAAAAAAAAAUCGUUGGUAAAAUUAAA